rnacentral:rRNA from 1 species
UACGUAGGGGCCGAGCGUUGUCCGGAGUUAUUGGGCGUAAAGCGCGCGCAGGCGGCCUCGCGCGCCCGACGUGAAAGCCCCCGGCUUAACCGGGGAGGGUCGUUGGGGACGGCGGGGCUUGAGGGCGGGAGAGGUCGGUGGAAUUCCCGGUGUAGUGGUGAAAUGCGUAGAGAUCGGGAGGAACACCUGUGGCGAACGCGGCCGACUGGGCCGACCCUGACGCUGAGGCGCGAAGGCGUGGGGAGCGAACGGG